UACCUCAAAAUUCCGCAACAGUCUGUUUCAUCAGUAAAGAAUCAUCAGGCGGUAUCUGAUGAUUCUUUACUGAUGAAACAGACUGUUGCGGAAUUU